UAGUAGAGAUCUAAGAGAUCUAUAUAGAGUGGAGCAAGAGAAAAAAAAGACUUCGUUGCCCGAAAAGAGCAGAGAUAUAUUAUAACCGUUGGUCAUACAAUAAUUGAUCAUCAUGCGAGACGAGUUGUAAUUAUCAUGCAACGUGCCUCAUGAAUGUGUAAGCUAAUAUGGUCGGUUGAUCUGAUCGAUCACAAGCCGACAAAUCCAGGCUACAUCAAUUUCCUUUUGUGAUCUUUUCUAUAAAACCCAAGAAACUGCAAAACUGGACUUAACAUUGCCGUAUCUAGUUUGCGUUGCCUUACUUCUGGUAAUUUUCAUUGAAAAAUUCCAAGAAAUAUCAAAACGCUAGUCUUACGUUUGCCAUAAGUGUCCUGGAAUGAGUUAUCUUG
rnacentral:lncRNA from 1 species